rnacentral:rRNA from 1 species
UACGAAGGGUGCAAACGUUGCUCGGAAUUAUUGGGCGUAAGGCGCACGUAGGCGGCUUUGCAAGUCCCAUGUGAAAUCCCACGGCUUAACCGUGGAAGUGCAUGGGAAACUGCAGAGCUUGAGUACUUAAGAGGAUCGCGGAAUUCCCGGUGUAGAGGUGAAAUUCGUAGAUAUCGGGAGGAACACCAGUGGCGAAGGCGGCGAUCUGGGAAGAUACUGACGCUGAGGUGCGAAAGCGUGGGGAGCAAACAGG